AGUGAACGCCGGCGGUAGGCCUAACACAUGCAAGUCGAACGGCAGCACAGUAAGAGCUUGCUCUUACGGGUGGCGAGUGGCGGACGGGUGAGGAAUACAUCGGAAUCUACUUUUUCGUGUGGGAUAACGUAGGGAAACUUACGCUAAUACCGCAUACGACCUACGGGUGAAAGCAGGGGAUCUUCGGACCUUGCGCGAUUGAAUGAGCCGAUGUCGGAUUAGCUAGUUGGCGGGGUAAAGGCCCACCAAGGCGACGAUCCGUAGCUGGUCUGAGAGGAUGAUAGGCCGCAUUGGAGCUUAAACGGGGACAAUGCGACUGAGAGACGGAGCAGACGGGAAUAUGAGACAGUGGGCGGAAACCUUGUACAGCCAGACGGCGUGGGUGAAGAAGACCUUCGGGUCGUAAAGCCCUUUUGUUGGGAAAGAAAAGCAGCAGGUUAAUACCCCGCUGUUCUGACGGUACCGAGAGAAUAAGCACCGGCUAACUUCGUG
rnacentral:rRNA from 1 species